UCAAGCGUUGAGAUUCCAUCGUGCUCUACAAUGCUUCGCCGUCGCGUCGACGACGAGCAGCAGGGCCUCUAUGACGAGACUGCUGCGACCUGCGUCGGUGCCGGUCUAACACACCAAGGCUCCGAUGUGUAUGAAGGAAAUGCACAAUGCUAAAAACUGCGUAGGAGAUUUUAAUACAAUAGUACUACCAAGCCUGAUGUUGGCCGCUAUUUCAAUGAAUGCAGCAGUGUGACAGCUAGCAAUCAAAAGUAACAAGAUAUCGAGGAAAUGCAGAUGGCAAUAAACUGUGUAGGAGUUCAUGAUGGCAAUAGAAUAAAAUCGACCAAGCCUGAAGUCAGCAGCCCCUUCAAUGAAUGCAGCAGUGUGACAGCCAGCAAUCAAAAGUUACAACAUAUCGAGGAAAUGCAGAUGGCAAUAAACUGUGU